CUGGAUUUCUCUAAAAAUCUUCAUUACACACUGGCAGAACAAUCGACAUUUUCAAGAGUGCAGGACUUGAUUAUUGUAACAUUUCUGAAACUGUUAAAAAAUGUUUGAUACAUUCAUUUUCUUCUGGUUGUUCUCCUGGAGUCUGACUGGUGUGUUUGUUGCUGAUGCAGUGAAGUCAGAGUCAGUGACUGAGGGAGAAUCAGUCUCUCUGAACUCUAGUCUCACUCAAAUACAGACACAUGAAGAGAUCGAGUGGAAGUUUGGUGACAUUCUCAUAGCUAAAGUGAAGAACAACAAGAGCGUGUUUUAUGAUAUUGAUGAUGAGAGAUUCAGAGACAGACUGAAACUGGAUCAGACUGGAUCUCUGACCAUCAUCAACAGCAGAACCACAGACUCUGGACUUUAUACAGUCUCCAGCAGCAGCAGAGACACGAUCAACACGAUCAAUCUCACUGUCUAUGGUGAGGAGAGAAUUACUUAUUUUAUUUACAGUCCUAGUCAAGUUUACAUUAACCUUGCAGAAACAAAAUGCAUGUUAUUUUUGUUAUUUAUGUAUGCUAAAAAGAUUUGUUGGCUCAACAUCCGUUACUUAUCAAGAAAAACAGAUUAAACUAAUAUAUAUAUAAUUUAUAACUUACAAAAUUUUAAGAUACAAAUUCUCACACAAAAAUGUAAAAUAAAAGUGUAUGAAAAAUAAUUUAAGUAACAUCAACUAGCAUUACAACUUGGUUAAAAUUAAGUAAACCUAACUUAAAAUUUGACGUAUUUGUGAGCUGCGUGAUAUGCAAAUAUUAUAUCCAGCCAAUGAGCGAAGCUGGAGCCAUUUUAAGUGAUGUGAUGAAGACAGCGAGAACUCUGUCAGGUAAACUGUCUUUAAAAACAUUAAGUAAAAUAUUAGAGCUUGACCUUUUAAACAUUCAUAAACACUUGUUUGUGUUAGUGCGCUUCUAAACCGGAAGCACAAUACGUUUUCUGAGGCGUGAUGUGGUGACGAUGGUGAAAGGAGAUGGGUUUAUUCCUAAACUGGAAGCACAACGCAACAUUUUCUGAAGUACAAUGUGGUGAAGAUGGUGAAAGGAGUGUGAACAGUUGUGGAGCAAAAAUAGCAGGAUAUGGUGGAUCCUGUUAGAACAAUUUCUGAAGACCAAACCUGUUCAGAUAUACAGAGAAGUUGAUUCAGUGUUUAAUGUUGUACCUCUCUGACAACACUAAUGAUCUCAUCAGGCAUCACCAGAUCAUCAGCUCGUCCGGAGAGAGCUCCAUGAACUCAGCUGAGCGUGUCAGAUAAGAGAGACAUAAGUCCUUGUCGACAGUAACUGUUUCUCAUGGGGACGUAAGAUAUUUUCAGCAUUUACAGGGGAUGGUUGGUGAUUAUAUUGCUGCCCGAAUCCAGAAUGUCAGUGUUUUUCUCUCACCACCCACAUAAAAAUGCCUGGCUGAACUGACUACUGUUUUUUGACAGUUACCAAGGCCGUGUGGUAAUUUAAUUGCCGUCUGAAUCAACAUCUCUGAGUUUACCAGAACAGAUUGAUACAAAAUUCACUGUUUAAAUCCUUUUUGCACCAUAUAAGUGUUGAGCUUCGCUGUAAUUUGCAUGCAGUUAAAAGAUACAUUUAAUACAGAAAUGUUGGAAAGUAUUUACAAAAGCAAUAUUCAUCACCGCUCCACCACAGCAUUAAUAAUUUAAUCGAUAAAACUUAUCAGUGAUUGAUUAAGCAAGGUUCAUUAGGCAUCAUUAGGGUGAGUGGUUAUGCACCAUAAACGAGCAGCAGACGCAGGAAAUAAUUGGGAUAAUUUUACUUCAAAUGAAGGUAAAUGAGGCUGUAGUGUUAUGGGGCAUCAACAUGCAGAUGGCAGAAAGAUUGUCAAAUAGUAAAAAUACACUCCAAAUUUUCCGUGAUGAAAAGAACACUUACAGGUGCUGGUCAUAUAAUUAGAAUAUCAUCAAAAAGUUGAUUUAUUUCACUAAUUCCAUUCAAAAAGUGAAACUUGUAUAUUAUAUUCAUUCAUUACACACAGACUGAUAUAUUUCAAAUGUUUAUUUCUUUUAAUUUUGAUGAUUAUAACUGACAACUAAGGAAAAUCCCAAAUUCAGUAUAUCAGAAAAUUAGAAUAUUGUGAAAAGGUUCAAUAUUGAAGACACCUGGUGCCACACUCUAAUCAGCUAAUUAACUCAAAACACCUGCAAAGGCCUUUAAAUGGUCUCUCAGUCUAGUUCUGUAGGCUACACAAUCAUGGGGAAGACUGCUGACUUGACAGUUGUCCAAAAGACGACCAUUGACACCUUGCUCAAGGAGGGCAAGACACAAAAGGUCAUUGCAAAAGAGGCUGGCUGUUCACAGAGCUCUGUGUCCAAGCACAUUAAUAGAGAGGCGAAGGGAAGGAAAAGAUGUGGUAGAAAAAAGUGUACAAGCAAUAGGGAUAACCGCACCCUGGAGAGGAUUGUGAAACAAAACCCAUUCAAAAAAUGUGGGGGAGAUUCACAAAGAGUGGACUACAGCUGGAGUCAGUGCUUCAAGAACCACUACGCACAGACAUAUGCAAGACAUGGGUUUCAGCUGUCGCAUUCCUUGUGUCAAGCCACUAUUGAACAACAGACAGCGUCAGAAGCGUCUCGCCUGGGCUAAAGACAAAAAAGACUGGACUGCUGCGGAGAGCUCCAAAGUUAUGUUCUCUGAUGAAAGUAAAUUUUGCAUUUCCUUUGGAAAUCAGGGUCCCAGAGUCUGGAGGAAGAGAGGAGAGGCACACAAUCCACGUUGCUUGAGGUCCAGUGUAAAGUUUCCACAGUCAGUGAUGGUUUGGGGUGCCAUGUCAUCUGCUGGUGUUGGUCCACUGUGUUUUCUGAGGUCCAAGGUCAACGCAGCCGUAUACCAGGAAGUUUUAGAGCACUUCAUGCUUCCUGCUGCUGACCAACUUUAUGGAGAUGCAGAUUUCAUUUUCCAAGAGGACUUGGCACCUGCACACAGUGCCAAAGCUACCAGUACCUGGUUUAAGGACCAUGGUAUCCCUGUUCUUAAUUGGCCAGCAAACUCGCCUGACCUUAACCCCAUAGAAAAUCUAUGGGGUAUUGUGAAGAGGAAGAUGCGAUAUGCCAGACCCAACAAUGCAGAAGAGCUGAAGGCCACUAUCAGAGCAACCUGGGCUCUUAUAACACCUGAGCAGUGCCACAGACUGAUCGACUCCAUGCCACGCCGCAUUGCUGCAGUAAUUCAGGCAAAAGGAGCCCCAACUAAGUAUUGAGUGCUGUACAUGCUCAUACUUUUCAUGUUCAUACUUUUCAGUUGGCCAAGAUUUCUAAAAAUCCUUUCUUUGUAUUGGUCUUAAGUAAUAUUCUAAUUUUCUGAGAUACUGAAUUUGGGAUUUUCCUUAGUUGUCAGUUAUAUUCAUCAAAAUUAAAAGAAAUAAUCAUUUGAAAUAUAUCAGUCUGUGUGUAAUGAAUGAAUAUAAUAUACAAGUUUCACUUUUUGAAUGGAAUUAGUGAAAUAAAUCAACUUUUUGAUGAUAUUCUAAUUAUAUGACCAGCACCUGUAUAAUAGCAAAACAACCUUUUGCAAAUUAGCAUAAAUCACAUUGAUUCAUUUUUCAAUCCUACUAGCGGAAAAAAAAAAAAAAAAAAAAAAAAAAAAAGGCCGGUGAGGGAGCUGGUGUGUUGAGUGAAAUUGGCACUCCCUGUACUGCAGUUUCAAGGUUAAUGAUUAAUUGAUUUUUAAUUUAAAUGACGGUGGAUCAUGGGAAUUUGUGUAAAUUAACAUCCCUACUUCAAAACUCAAUAAUCAACUUAAUAAUGGAAGUAAAUCAAUUUCACCCCCAAUAAAACAAAUGAAACAAACUGUAACAUUUAUUUAUUAAAUAUAAAGGUGUUUUCUUGUUAUUUCAAAACAUUGUAACUCAUUUUGUGUUAUAUAAAUGUUUUACAGUGGGAAAAAUAUAAAACAAUCUGGAACUACAAAGUAAUGCAAGUAAAUACACAUUUGCUAUGCUUUUCUUUAGGAUGGUCAUGGUGACCUUGAGGAACUGGAACAGCACACACACUGAUCACGAAGCUCGUCUGCCUGUUCCUGACAUCAGCAGAGACUCUUCACAAUGUUCUUCAUCAUCAUCAUCAUCAUCAUCAUCAUGUUCAUUGGUGUGUUCAGCUGUGAAUGUGAGUCAUGUGACUCUCUCCUGGUUCAAAGGAAACAGUUCAUUGUCCAGCAUCAGUGUGUCUGAUCUCAGCAUCAGUCUCUCUCUACCUCUGGAGGUGGAAUAUGAGGAUCAAAACACCUACAGCUGUGUGCUGAACAAUCCCAUCAGAAACCAGACUCAACACCUCAACAACACUCAACUCUGUCACACAUGUGCAGAGAGUAUCCACUGUUGUGGCUUUACUGAAGCUGUGAUCCGAUUGGCUCUCUCUGCUGUGGUGGGUGUGGCUACUGUGGUUGUUCUGGUUUAUGACAUCAGAUCCAGAAGUCUUCAACAGAAGAAGAGCGUCCAGAAAUAACCAUCAAACUCUGAUUAAUCUCUCAGGAAGAUGGAGAUGAUCCAGAAUGACUGGAGAGAUUAAAGUAUAUUACAAGAAACCUUUUGAGUAAAUAGCAUUCAUGAACAGACAGAUAGAUAGAUAGAUAGAUAGAUAGAUAUCACACCUGAUUUAACUCAUUGGCUCAUUAGUAGAGACUGCAAGACCUGAAGUGUCAAAUUAGGGAGACAUACACAAUGUGCAGGGCUGGUGCUAGCUACUCCAGGACAACCACUGAUUUAAGUCAAAUGUUAAUUCAUUUUAUAAAAUCUUAACGGUCCUUUAAAAAAAUUAAAAUACACUAUACAUUUUAGAACAGGAUAACGUACAACAUCAUCCUGAAAACAUCCAAAGAAGUAUCAGUCACUGGUAAUACAUGUAACAUAGAUUAAAAAAUUUCAUCUGAAUACACAAUUAUGUUUAAAUGAUCUUAAGAAAAGGAGGAUGUCUUGUGUUUCCAGACCUGUAGUUACAACAUCUACCAGCAAUAGGAUUUACUGAAAAUACAUAGAGGCCUACUGUGAAAAUCCUCAAAAUUUUAAAAGUUCAGUCACUAGUAGGCGCUACAUCAGGGUCUGUAUGAGAGACUCACUGUCUGAGAGAGUCAUUGUUUCAUCAGAAUUCAAUCGUCUCCUCAGUCUCAAAUUUUUGGCAAAACAACACAAGCACAGAUGAUGGUUUAGACCCUGUAGCACUCAUUAUAUUUCAUAGUUCUAUAAUCUUCAAAAAUGUUUAAAAGAAGCAAAUUUAAAUGUAUUUGUUCAGUAUUAAAAACAAAAUUUCCCAUGCA